CAGAGGCCCGAUGUCAAGUCGGAUAACAUGCUGCGCAUGAUGGGCCUCAUGCUAGAUUAUGUGUAAGCUGUACUGUCUUGAACGAUAUAUUCCUGGAUUUUGCAAUGUUGUACCUUCACCUAGUUUGUGUAACUUGAUGACCUUAGACAUGUUUGUUCUAUUUGGAUUCAUCUUUUAACUAUUCAAAAUCAUGUUGCUCCACUUCAUGGCCUGAAUGGCGAGAGAAGGGAGGGUAUAUUCAUCGUGAAUUCGCGAUGAGCUGACAGCAUGAUGCUAAGUUUGAUGAAUGUCUGGUGCUGGAAGCAUGUGAAUGCGUGGUUGACGAGAGCCUUCAGAGAUGCUGCCUCUAUCAAAAUAUAAGACGUUUUUUGCAGUUCAAAACGUCUUAUAUGUUGGUACAGAGGGGUGGAUGUUUGAUGGCCGGGUGAAUGUUGUCAGAAUUCACAUGCGUAGUUGACGCAGCCCUCGCUAGGGUUAGAUUACCUGUGACUGUGAGGAAUGAAGGCCGAUCAAACUGUAGAAUGUUUUUUUGCCGUGGCUGUGAGUAGGAGGCUUGUUGCUUUUGCGUGAUGAGGAGAAUUCACAGGUAGAGAGGGAUAAAUAUAAAGUUGAAGAAUCCAAUUCCUGUAGCUUUUGCAUUGGCCUGCAGUCCUGGGAAUUUUGAAGAAUUGAAAGCCGCAUCUGAUUCUUGGUCCUGCAAUGAGGUCACUUUUGGUAGAUUUCCCUGCAGUAAAAAAUGUCAGCAGGUUGAGGCAGUACAGUAUGUGCAAUCUGUUGUCAUUCAGCAAUAGUUGUGGCAGCGUGGUAAACCUGAUGGGGCAAGCUUACUUUCCUAGUAAAGUAGGCAGCAUUUCUUGACUUCUAAGUGCACCGAAGAAAAUUGAAAAUGGUGUGUAUAGAAGCAUGACGAUGCUUCAUAUUUAACAAAGCUUGGAUGAUAAGUUGCAUCGUGGUGAUUGUUAGUAAGCGCAAAAAUCACAAUUAAAAAACAAAUGAAGUUCAUCCUCCUGUUGACUGCACCUGCAACAUUAGUACAUACGGGUAGGGCUUUCCCGAGGAGUAGUCUUGGCCUUGGGAAGCCCGGCCCGACCCGGCCUGGCCCGACGCUGCUCCUAGGCCGGGCUCGGGCCUAGAUUUUGAGCCCGAUGGCCAGGCCGGGCCCGUUGUUUUUGUGCUUUUCUGAAGGGGCACGGCGCAAGGCUCGAUGGGCUUUUACGUGUUCGGGCCAGGCUUGGCCCCCCAAAACAGGCCCGAUGGGCGAGCCGGGCCUUGGCCUAGGAUUUUUGCCUUGGGCUUGGCUAGGCCCGGCCCGAGGUUUGGCCAGGUAUACCGAGGAGUCUCGACGCAAAUGUUUGAACUCUUGGCUCCCAUGAGCUUCUGCUUCCAUAGCUGCUUAAGUAAAUAUCUCACAAGUGGGUACUUGCCUGGGCUGCUUAUUGUGUGUGAGAGGGAUAUCUCAAGAUUUAUGGCCUGUGACCCAAAUGUCUUUAACAAGCGCAGGGUAACACAAAGUUAGCAGGAAAAAUAAUCAAGUGAUUAUAACUUUGAACUCGCGACCGCUGGCCCAAAUCUGCGAGCGCAAGCCACCACACUAAGGGCCCGCUUUUGAUAAAACAUGGAUGGACACACCUCUAUAUAAAUAGCAUUGUCCAUUCCGCUAUAUCAGGCCUAGACUUUUUUUUUGAGAAUGCGCGUGUUAGCGAAUUAAGCUGGCAGUAGUAUUUUUUUUUUGCGAAAAACAGUAGGAUUUGCUACUAAGAUGAACAUGGUUUCGAACCAUACUCCCUUUUCUUUUUCGUUUUUCUGUUUCUUUUUUCUUUUCUUCCUUCUCUAGCGAAUCACAUUUUCCAAAAACUAGUUCAGAAAAUUUUAGCGAAUCACAUUUUCGGAAAACUAGUUCAGAAAAUUUUAGCGAAUCACAUUUUCCGAAAAUAGUUUGAAGUUUCAAAAUUUGGUCACAGUAUAAAAAAUUUAGAAGUUUUCAAAAAUGUUUUCAUUUGCAAAAAAAUUCUUCUUAUUUUCAAAAUUUUCCUGGUCAUAAAUUCUUGUUCUGAAUUUGAAAGUUUGUUCAGCAAUACAAAAAAUCCCCCUUUUCAAAAAAUGACCCAGAAUUUAUAAUAAUUAUAGCAUUUUUAUGAAUUUUUCAUCAACAAGUAUUUUUUUCAUGCAUUUAUGUUCUUUGUAUCUCUCACAUACAAGCACAUGUAUUGAUGAAAUAUUGCACAAUGAUAUUGCGCUACUAUACAUGCAUAUACAUACAAUUUUGGAAUUUUUUCAAGCAGUAAAAAUCUAUUUGUUUACUAAAAAAUACCAUGCGUACCCCCUGUACCCAAUACGUAGAGAAUUUUUGAAAAUGCGAAUAUUUUUCAAAUCAUGAUUUUUUUACAAAUUCGUGAAUAAUUUUUGAAUUCACAAGUUUUUUUGAAAUUGCAUACAUUGUUUUAGAACUCAUCAACAAGUUUUUAUGCAUAGGCGGAUAUUUCUUGAAAUUUGGGAACAAAUUUUGAUAUUAAAAAACAGUUUUUGUUUGUGACUAACAUUUUUUGAAUUCAUGAAUAUUUUUUUGAAUCAGUGAACAUUUUUUAAAAGAUUGGUUUUUUACAGUCCCAUACAUUGUUUUGAAUAUUUUAUAUAAAUUCGUGGACAUUGUUCUGUCGACACGAGCCUUUAUUUUUGAAUCUUGAACAUUGUUUGAAUCGAUGAACGUUUUAAAAAAACUCCUGAACAUUUUAUAAAUUCAUGAUUUUUUGUAAAGACGAAAACAAACAUAUAAUAAAGCAUGCAUCUCCAUGUGUACAAGAUCACGCGCUUGUUCUGGUGGCUUGCUGGCGUAGCAAUGUGCUACAGUUCGCGGGUUAGAAUUCCCGUGGUGCUCUUUUCUCCUUUUGUUUUGUUUUUUUCUCAGCCUCAGCCCAGGCCCAUUGAGAUAUGGCGUAGCAAUGUGCUUAUACAAAAACUAUACACCACUACUGACACAACAUAAACAAAAUUCAGUUCAUCAACCUGAUAGUUGCAAUCAUUCUAAGAGAUGCAAUCAAAACUUGGAGACUCCCUGUUAGAUAAACAACAAGCAGUGAAUAAAUGAGAUGGAACAUGCAAUUGUAUAUCUAGAAAGAGGACCAAGAAACUAACAAAGAAGGUAAAGGUCACACCAGUGCAGAACAUACACCAUAUACCACAAAUUCAAACUGAAAGUAAAUCCACCCUUGCAAACAUAGCAAACCAGUGAGAAUAACAUCUACUAAAAGUGAAUUCACAUGAACAAACCAUGCUAGAAAAGAUUGCAUUAGUAUUCACUGUUCUUCUUGUGGACAUAACACAUAUAUAUACCUUCCCACUCUAAUCUGAAGCCAUUAUCCUAAAAAUGCACUUGGUUCUGCUAGACUACUUGGUCCACCUUUCCUCGCCCUUCGAAGCUUAAAAGAUACAAGUAUAACUCAAUAAAAAAAAAAUGAAGAACACAUUGUUUAACAAAAUGCAAUAUGCAUUUAUUAACCAACAGAAGACCAGAUGGCACGGGACAAAUCAACUGCACCAUCUGAAUACUCAUCCAAUGUAUCAACUACUCAACUGUGGACAACUUCUCAAAAAACAGAUACAUUGCAGGGACUGUUUUUAUCUGUGUAGGGAUUGCUUUUAUUUUCCCCUGAUAUUUGCCUUCUCCUGUCAUGUAAACCUAUGACAAAACCAACAAUCAAUCCCUCAAUUCGAUGGAUGUAAGAUGCAAUGCGGAGAUGACUUGCUUAUUUGAAUAUGAAAAGACAACAUCUGCGUACCAUGUUCCGAGGAGGAGCUGGGCGUAGCAGCAUGCUCAGCUUGUCAUAGAUCCAGCCGUCCGUGCCACUGAAGCUCAUGGAGUUUAACCUGCAGGUGCAGUCCUAUCCUUAGCAAGGAAAAAAUCCUCAACUCAUCCCGAACGAGAGGUCGAUUCCAAAGCCAUGAAGCUAAUGGAAUCGCCCAGAUCAAGGUGCAUCUCAAGAUGGCAGAGGGAGGCAAGUGAUGAGAGAGAGAGAGAGAGAGAGAGAGAGAGAGAGAGAGAGAGAGAGAGAGAGAGAGAGAGAGAAUAUCACUGCCGGGUUGUGUUUCAUUCUCCAUUCACUGAACCACCAGCAGGGAUGAGUCCGCCUAGCACACAUUAGCCUAGCUCUCGCCCCUCCCGUCGGCGGCCUCCUCGGCCUCCUCGGCCGCCGUCCACGCCGCCAUGCCAUGCCCCAGCCCUACCACUCCGGCGUUAUUACGCUGCAGCACGCCUGCUUCCCACGGCGGCGCCUCCCCGGACACGCGCGAGCGCAUUCACUUCUCCGCGAGCUUCUCUGACCAAGACUCGCCCGGCUCGAGCUCCCCACCCUCCUGCAGUCCUACGCGACCGUGGUGCAGGGCGGCAGCUCACCCGGCGAGGCGGCUUUGCCUUCAAGGCGAUGUGACCUGCCCCUGCAGCGCUUUGAUGAGGACGGGGAGGGGUGGCAGAUCCACAGCACGCGCAAGCAGAAGAAGGCGCGCAUGCGCGAGAUUCACGGUAAGCCCAUGCCGCCCAAGGUUCACGCGUUGGACUGCUCCCGCCUGUGCUUCCGGUGCCUCUCCGACAAGCAUUUCAUCGCCCGCUGCACCAACCCAGUUCGCUGUCGUAAAUGCUUCACCGCCGGCCACAUCGCCAGGCAGUGCGCUGAUUUAAGGGCUCCCACCCCGCCACCCCAUCUUGCACAUCAACGCCCCCCGCCACCGUUCCUUGACCGCAACCCUCUCAUCACACAGCUGCCGCCAUCCUCCCUCCGCCUACCCGCCAGGGCAAGAGUGCGCUUCCCCCUCGUCGCCGCCGGCACCACCACCAUCACCACCACCACCACACCCACCCCCCACCCCCACCCNNNNNNNNNNNNNNNNNNNNNNNNNNNNNNNNNNNNNNNNNNNNNNNNNNNNNNNNNNNNNNNNNNNNNNNNNNNNNNNNNNNNNNNNNNNNNNNNNNNNNNNNNNNNNNNNNNNNNNNNNNNNNNNNNNNNNNNNNNNNNNNNNNNNNNNNNNNNNNNNNNNNNNNNNNNNNNNNNNNNNNNNNNNNNNNNNNNNNNNNNNNNNNNNNNNNNNNNNNNNNNNNNNNNNNNNNNNNNNNNNNNNNNNNNNNNNNNNNNNNNNNNNNNNNNNNNNNNNNNNNNNNNNNNNNNNNNNNNNNNNNNNNNNNNNNNNNNNNNNNNNNNNNNNNNNNNNNNNNNNNNNNNNNNNNNNNNNNNNNNNNGACCCCGAUGGAGGCGGCGGCCAUGGACACCUCACUCCUGCCCCUCGCUCACCUGUGUCCCUCCCCCCCGGGUGUGAAAGUGCAACUAUCCCUAAGUGGUUUUGGUAAUUCUUAACAACAUAUAUUUCAUUAAGCUAAUACUAUUUUAAGACUAAUAUUUCAGGAAAGCUCAAUGAUUGGCAUGGCAUGGAUGAGAAAAGUGGACCUCUCAAAAUGCUAAGGACAAAGGAUUGGCUCAAGCUCACAGCUCAAGACUCUACAUUUUCUAUUUUAAUGAUCCAAGAUCACAUUGAAUCUAUAGGAAAAGCCAAUGCUAUCAAGGAGGGAUGAGGUGUUGCUUAAUAAGAUUCUUGCUCAAAUGCUAGUGAUAUGCUCCAAAGCCCUCAACUACUUUCUCACAUCCACAUAUGACCUAAACCAAAAGUCAAACUCGGCCCCACCGGUUCUUUCUAUCCGGCGCCACCGAGUUUCAAAUGUCAUAGCCACUGCCACAAACCCUAGGCAAAUUGGUCUCACCGAAAUGAGUGAUCGGUCCCACCGAAAUGAGCAAUGCAAACUCUCUGUUUUCCCUUCGUAACGUUUCGGUCUCACCGAAAUGAGCGACCGGUCCCACCGAGUUUACCUGGCCAACUCUCUGGUUAGCUUAUUACUAAAAUCGGUCUGACCGAGUUUGUGUAAUCGGUCUCACCGAGAUUACGUUAUGCCCUAACCCUAAUCAUAUCGGUCCUACCGAGUUGCAUGUCGGUCCCAUCGAAAACCCUAACGGUCACUAGCUUUGCUGAAUCGGUCCGACCGAGUUUAACCAUUCGGUCCCACCGAGUUUGGGAAGUUAUGUGUAACGGUUAGAUUUUGUGUGGAGGCUAUAAAUACCCCUCCACCUCCUCUUCAUUCGUGAAGAGAGCCAUCAGAACGAACCAACACUUCCAACUUACUUUUUCUGAGAGAGAACCACCUACACUUGUGUUGAGACCAAGAUAUUCCAUUCCUACCAUAUGAAUCUUGAUCUCUAGCCUUCCCAAGUUGCUUUCCACUCAAAUCUUCUUUCCACCAAAUCCAAAUCCUGUGAGAGAGAGUUGAGUGUUGGAGAGACUAUCAUUUGAAGCACAAGAGCAAGGAGUUUAUCAUCAACACACCAUUUGUUACUUCUUGAAGAGUGGUGUCUCUUAGAUUGGUUAGGUGUCACUUGGGAGCCUCCGACAAGAUUGUGGAGUUGAACCAAGGAGUUAGUAAGGGCAAGGAGAUCGCCUACUUCGUGAAGAUCUACCGCUAGUGAGGCAAUUCCUUCGUGGGCGAUGGCCAUGGUGGGAUAGACAAGGUUGCUUCUUCAUGGACCCUUCGUGGGUGGAGCCCUCCAUGGACUCGCGCAACCGUUACCCUUCGUGGGUUGAAGUCUCCAUCAACGUCGAUGUACGAUAGCACCACCUAUCGGAACCAUGACAAAAACAUCCGUGUCUCCAAUUGCGUUUGAAUCCUCCAAACCCUUCCCUUUACGUUCUUGCAAAUUGCAUGCUUUACUUUUCGCUGCUCAUAUACUCUUUGCAUGCUUGCUUGAAUAGUGUUAAGAUUGCUUGACUUGUCCAAAGUUGCUAAAAUAUGCCAAGAACUAAAAUUGGGAAAAUGCUAUAUUUUUAUUUGGUCAAGUAGUCUAAUCACCCCCCUCUAGACAUACUUUCGAUCCUACAAGUGGUAUCAGAGCUUUGGUCUCCAUUUGCUUUGAUUUCCAUAGCUUUUGGUGGUCAUAGCCUUGGUUUCAUAACCUAGGAGAGUAUGGCAUCUAGCGAGGGAAAUUACCACCGUAGAGGUCCUUACUUUGAUAGCACUAAUUUUGCUAGUUGGAAGCAUAAGAUGAAAAUGCAUAUUCUUGGACAUAACCCCGCCGUUUGGGCUAUUGUGUGUAUUGGCUUGCAAGGUGAAUUCUUUGAUGGGAGAGAACCGAACCGUGAAGCUACCGCGAAAGAGUUCAAGAUGCUACAAUACAAUGCUCAAGCUUGUGAUAUCCUCUUCAACGGAUUGUGCCCUGAAGAAUUCAACAAAAUCAGCCGUCUUGAGAAUACAAAGGAAAUUUGGGAUACUUUGAUUGAUAUGCACGAAGGUACCGACUCCGUCAAGGAAUCCAAGUUGGAUGUGCUUCAAAGUCAACUUGACAAGUUCAAAAUGAAGGAUGGUGAAGGUGUCGCUGAAAUGUACUCUAGGCUUGCUCUUAUCACAAAUGAGAUUGCCGGCUUAGGAAGUGAAGAGAUGACCAACAAAUUCAUCAUCAAGAAGAUCCUAAGAGCCUUGGAUGGAAAAUAUGAUACCGUAUGCACAUUGAUCCAAAUGAUGCCAAAUUACAAGGAUCUCAAGCCAACGGAAGUCAUUGGAAGAAUUGUUACUCAUGAGAUGUCACUCAAGGAUAAGGAGGAGCUCCAUAACAAGUCAAGUGGUGCUUACAAAGCCUCAUGUGAAGCUCCCACAUCAUCAAGUGAGAAACAAACCUUCAAUGAAGAAUUGAGCCUAAUGGUGAAGAACUUCAACAAGUUCUACAAGAGUAGAAGCAAAGAGAAAAGUUCCAAGUCAAGGUCCUACAAUGACAAAAGAUCUUCUAGUCGAGAGCGAAACUGCUACAAUUGUGGAAGACCCGGACACUACUCAAAUGAGUGUACGCCCCCCUACAAGAGAAGAGAAGAUUCUCCCAAAAGAAGAAGUAGAAGAGAAGAAUCACCAUCGAGGGAGAGAAGGAGUAGGGAUGAUCGUUAUGAACGAAGACCCUCUCGGAGAAGCAAGGAUUCGGAAAGGAAGGACAAGUCAUCAAGGAGCUACACAAAAUGAAGACAUCAAGCUCAUGUUGGUGAAUGGGUAUCCGCCUCCGACUCCGACAAUCACUCGGAGAGAAGUUAUCACUCCGACUCCGAAUAUACUCAAGAUGAAGGUGUUGCUGGUCUAGCACUUGUGUCAACCAACUCCUACGACAUAUUUGAUUCACCAAAUGAAGGAAUUGGAAGAUGCUUCAUGGCCAAAGGUCCAAAGGUAUCACACCCCGAGUAUGUUGAUUUCAAUAGUGAUGAAGAUGACUUGUUAGGUGAUGAUGAUCUACUUGUUGACAACUCUAGUGAUGAAUACUAUGAUGAAACAUCAAUUAAUCAUGCUAAUUAAGAUAAAAUGAAUGACAAUGAUAAGGAGAAGAUUGAGUCGCUAACUAAAGAACUAAACACUCUUAAGUUAGCUCAUGAAACUAUCUUAGGAGAUCAUCGAGAACUUUUAAGGACUCAUGAGAAAUUACGUUUUGAGAAGCUCAAUCUUGAGCAAGAGCAUGAGUUCUUAAAGGCAAUCAAUGAUGAUCUUCGCAAGAAAAGUUCUUCUUACAUUGCCAAGCGUUUACUCUUAUCCACUUACAUGCCUCAAGUGAAGUGUAGUAACAAGAACAAGAAGGAUUCUUCCUCUAGUAGUAACAAUAAUCAUGCUAAAUCCAAUAUUGUUGCUUCUAGUAGUUCUCUUGAUUCCACUAAUGAUUCUCUUAGCCAAGUUACACUUGAGCAAGAAAAUAGCUUACUGAAGGGAAUCAUAGAGAAAGGUGUUUACAAGAGCCUUGCCGGGAGUAAGCAAUUCGAGGAAAUUGUACGCAAGCAAGGAAGGCACCGGAAGAAUCAAGGUAUUGGUUUUGAACGAAAGUUCAAUGCCAAUGGAGUUGAGUGGGAAGAAGAUCAAUACCCCAAGACGAAGUUUGUUCCUCAACAAGAGAAGUAUGAUCCUACUUCUUUCAAAGGUACACAAGCUCGAGAUGAUCUUCCACCACAAGACCAUAAGGAAAAAGGCAAGGACAAGCUUCAAGAGGAAAUUGAUGCACUUGAAGAAGCUCCUAAGGCCUUGGUCAAGUGGGUUCCCAAGACUACAUCAAGUUCCACUUCAUCAAGUACAACUACAAGUCCGAGGAUUCCCAUCAAGAUGGUGUGCACCCUGAAGAAGAAGAACUAGAGAGUUCUUGAGGGUGACUCCGCCAACAUACUUCACUCUUAUCAUUUUGGCAAGAACAAGUGCAAUCAACUUCCACAUCUUGCACUAGUUCAAGGAGUCACAAACCCUCUUGUUGGUAAGACAAGGGACAAGGUAACCUAAUGCUCUCAUAGACAUCAUCUUGUGUGUGCAUCACUCUAUGUCUAACCCGUGUAGGUAUUGAAAGUGAAACUCGCUCCAAAGGAUAGCUCCGAAUGAUCUACAUCAACUUAGAGGAUCCACAUCUUCAACACCUACAUGAAGUCAUCAUCAACAAAACCCAAGGUUAGUUCAUCCCUCUUAGAGGGGAUCUCACAUCUAGGGGGAGCUUUACUCUAAGAAUUGAGCUAAAGCAACUCUAAUGGUGUGAACACAACAACGCUUUAUGUAAAAGUUGUAACCCCACUUGUGCUUAAACGAUGAGUAUGACCUAUGAUCAAAUGUUCUCAUUUGACUCCUAAGUCAAUAUACUCAUAUAUAGAGGACCUAGUCAUCGCCAAUUGCUUGAUAGAUGCUAGAAUUGUUUGUGCAUGCUUUGCCACAUAUUUCAUUUGUCAUUUUAUUGUGUGAGCAUGUUGGUUGCAUAAUUUACUCAUUCGAGGACAUCUACUUGUUGUUUUGAUUGGUUGGUUUCUUUUUCUCUUGCCAAGUGGAUGGACAAGAAUGCGUAAGAACUUUCUCUAGCUAUCUAUGCUCUUCUCGUCUCAAACUCUAUUCAUGCUGCAUUACAAAGUUUGAUCAAGUCAGAUUCGAACCACUCUGUGUGAGGAGCACUCGGAGUCCCCGAUUCGUCAUAGACUUAAACUUCCAAAACUUCUUUGUGCGUUUCGGUCUGACCAAUUCAUCCAUUUCGGUCAUACCGAGAUCACUAAGUUGAUCUAGGUUUUUAAUCUUGGUGCAACCGAUUUGAACUUUUCGGUCACACCGAGUUGCAGUAACUGCUUGCAGUUAUGCAUCUCGGUGCCACCGAGUUGUUCCACUCGGUCACACCGAUGGGGUUAGGCUAUAUAUACCCAUGGGCCAAAAUUUGGAAAACUUUCCGAACCUCUUCGCCCGCGCUCAGCUUGCUCUGCCUCGCUGGGUCUCCGGAUCGUCCUCCUCGUCGCUAGCCGCCUCCAGUCGCUGGUCUCCGGAUCGUCCUCCUCGUCGCUAGCCGCCUCCAGUCGCUAGUCUCCGCCGCCGUCAACGGGAUCGUCUCCGCCGUUGCCGCCGUAGCAACUCCAUCGUCGAACUAGGGUAUGGACUUGAUCUUUGUGUUGUUCUCACUCCAAUUUCCCAGCACAUUGUUUUUCCAUGUAUCUUUCCACGAUUGAGAUUAUUCUAUCCAUCGAAGUCACUCCGUAGUUUAGUUGUGGAUUGAAAAUUUAGGGUUAGGUUUCCACCGAAACCAUCUCGGACCGACCGAGUUGUUGAAAUCGGUUCCACCGAUUUGGCUCAGGCCAUUGCACAUGUGAUUCUCGGUCUGACCGAGAAUUGCAAAUCGGUAUGACCGAGUUCGAGUCUUUGUGAAACCCUAGUAGUCUCGGUGCCAGCGAACUGUGACUCGGUCUGACCGAGUUCACUAGUUUAGGUUCCAACAGCUGCUUCGGUAUCACCGAGAUUUCAAAUCGGUAGAUCCGAAAUGCUUUCUGUGGAAAACUAAAACUAAGUUUUUGAUUCAUUCUUUUGCAAAAACCUCUGCACACUGUGAUGCUCAUCCACUCUACCUCAUCUAUAAUCUAUUCACAGGGUCUGCCGUCAGUGUUUGCAUCAUGUCAGAUCAGAGUGACAGUCAGAACAAAUCUGAGGAGCAGUUUCAGAUGAGUGAGGGCACUAGUCCCUCCAGUAGCUCAGAUGAUGGAAGCAGGAGCACACCCAGCAACUUGCCUAAGGCAGCCACCAGGACCAGAAAGAAGAAAACCUCAGAUCCUGAGGACGAGGACUAUGUGGCUAUUGAGGAAGAGGCCACCUCAAAGAGGAAAGUCCUGAAAAAGGAAUAUGGCACAGCUGCUACCACUAAGCCAGGUAUGAAGCAAAAGGUUCCUGCCAAGAGAGCUCCCAUGUCAAAAGCCAGAACAUCCACUCAAGAGACUUUGGGAUCUGCACCCAAAGAGCAGGUUGUGGCAGAAAAGAAAAGGAAAGAGAGGGUCAAGAAGACCACUGCCAGAGUGCUUGGGAGAUCUUCAAUAAUGAAAGACUCUGAAGAAGAGGAAGAGCAAGAGGAUGCAGCACCAGCACCCAAAGCUCAAAAGCUUAUGGGAGAUGCUAUAAGGGUAGGGGCUGUUCCAUCUAAGCCUGCUCCUAAGAUUGCUGCUCCAGCUCCAAAGCCAAAACCAAAGAGGAGCACCAGGAACAUCCCUGCUGAGGAAAAGAACAAGGCCCUAGUGCCUGAAGCUGCAAUGGAAGAAGAAGAUGAUGAGUCACAUGUCUUGAGGAAGUUGAAGCCAAAAAUUCCAGAUCACAAUGAUGCUCAUCCAGUAGCUGAGAACAUGAAGAUAAGGAAGGAUUCAUGAUUGAGGCUAUGGAGAGAUUCAGAUCCAUAUGCCACCAGAAGAAGAACUGAUGUGGACUACAAGUUCCAUACCAAGGAACAGCAGGACUUCUAUGAGACAGUGUUGCUUGACAAGAAGCCAAUAGUGUGUGACAUGAGAUGGGUUGAUUGGAAAUUCAUUGAGGAAAAUGAGGAUCACUUCCCUGGUGUAUAUGACACCUUCAAGGCGUGUGGAGUGGAUGAGUUUGUGGCUCAGAAUCUCACAAAGUGGAAUGAUGAGCUCAUCAUGCAGUUCUACUCCACAACUCAUUUCUACCCAGAUGGAAGGAUUGUCUGGAUGUCUGAAGGCACUAGGUACCAGUCAACAGUUGCAGAAUAGGCUCAGUUGAUCAAUGCCCUAGAAGAACAAGAAGAUGACUUGGAUGUCUAUGCCAAGAAGAAGAAGGAUCACAACACCAUGACACACAUGUACAAAGAGAUCCCAGAUGCUGGUCUUGAGACACACAAGUUUGGAUCAGUACAUUACCUUCUGUCAGGCUUGCCAACAAUCAACUGGAUCCUCAGGAACACUCUCUUGCCAAAGUCAGGUGAUCACAAGAUGAUCAGAGGUCACUCCAUCAACUUGCUGCACAUUUUUGAUGUUCCACAGAAGUUGUCAUGAGCCUAAUUGUGGAAACCAUAAAGAGGACAACUGCAGAUCAGAAGAGGAGUUGUAGGUAUGCCCCACAGAUCCAGGAGCUGAUCAACUCCAAGAUGGGCACUGGCACAUAUCUGCUGGACAAGGAGCACCUGCCCAUCUACCCAGACUUUGAGGACAACACUGUGGUGAUGGAUGAAAAUGAACCAUCUUCUGUGCACGCACAAGCCAAGAAGGAGAAGGCAAGGGCUGAAAAGGCUGCAAAGAUGCCAACCACUGAAGAGACAUCUCAGUAUCUUCUGAAGAGCAAGCAAGAUCAGCUUGGCUACUUGAUUGCCUCCACUCUGAGGAUUGAGAAGGGAUUGGCUACCCUGAUUCAAAACCAGGAGAGCUUGGAGAGGAUCGUGGAGCAGAAAUUCUAUGACUUAGAUGUGAAGGUCACUGAGAUCAGUCUGUCGUUGAGAAACUUCAGGAUGAAGUGCAGGAGAAGAAGGGCAAGACAACCACUGAUGCUUUUGCUAGAGUGCCCAUAGGUCAGAGGUCUGCUGCUAUGCCUGUCAUAGACACUAGAGCAACUUCAUCUGCACAAGCUAUAGCUUCAGUGCCACCAGCUCCAGCACCUACUCCACCAGCUCCAUCUACAUCGACUGACGUCUUCGUCCUUGGAGUUCUGUCUACACCACCACCUGAAGACCAAGCCUGAGAGUCGAUUUAGCACUAUGCAUUUUUAUGAACUUUUUGGUAACUUGUUGCCAAAGGGGGAGAAAAUGUAUAGAUCGUAGGCUUCGAGAGAGAGUGUUGCUUUUGUUCUCUCUUGUGUUUCUCCUUGGUGGUUGAACUUUAUUAUCUGCUCAUUUGAGAUACUUUAUACUUUGUGCUUGCUUGGAUGAUCAUGUGUUUGAUCAUAUACUACCUUUAUGCAUGUUGGAUGACAUUUUCCUUUUAUAUUCCAUAUGAUCACUCACUUUGCUUGGUGAUGAGUGCAUGUAUUUUAAUUAUUAUCAUUUUGAGCGCUCCACCAAGAUGUAUGUGACAUGGAAGAGUAACCCAUGAUCCUAACUCUUUGUGCAUUUGCAGUCCAAAGCAAAUCUUAAACUAUGCACAAAUUUAGGGGGAGCUCUUGCUUUUCACAUACUUCUCAAAACGACAAUGUUUUUCACUCUUAUUAUCAUUUGUCGAAGCUUUGAUCUAUAUGUUGUCAUCAAUUACCAAAAAGGGGGAGAUUGAAAGUGCAACUAUCCCUAGGUGGUUUUGGUAAUUCCUAACAACAUAUAGUUCAUUGAGCUAAUGCUAUUUCAAGACUAAUAUUUCAGGAAAUCUCAAUGAUUGGCAUGGCAUGGAUGAGAAAAGUGGACCCCUCAAAAUGCUAAGGACAAAGGAUUGGCUCAAGCUCAAAGCUCAAGACUCUACAUUUUCCAUUUUAGUGAUCCAAGAUCACAUUGAGUCUAUAGGAAAAGCCAAUACUAUCAAGGAGGGAUAGACAAGGUUGCUUCUUCGUGGACCCUUCGUGGGUGGAGCCCUCCGUGGACUCGCGCAACCAUUACCCUUCGUGGGUUGAAGUCUCAAUCAACAUCGAUGUACGAUAGCACCACCUAUCGGAACCACGACAAAAACAUAUGUGUCUCCAAUUGCGUUUGAAUCCUCCAAACCCUUCCCUUUACAUUCUUGCAAGUUGCAUGCUUUACUUUCCGCUGCUCAUAUACUCUUUGCAUGCUUUCUUGAAUUGUGUUAAGAUUGCUUGACUUGUCCAAAGUUGCUAAAAUUUUCCAAGAACUAAAAUUGGGAAAAGGCUAGAUUUUUAUUUGGUCAAGUAGUCUAAUCACCCCCCCUCUAGACAUACUUUCGAUCCUACAGGGGGGCAUCCGCCGGGUGGAGCGAGCGAGGGCGACGAUCGAGUACUCCCCGGAGAUGGCGGCGGAUGAGUUGCUGCUGCUCAACCAUGCGGCUAUAGUCAUCGUCGCCGGUGAAAGAACAUGCGGUGCCCCCAUGUUUGGUUUUGGUAAUUGAUGACAAUCUCUAUGGACUAAUGGUUGCCUUGAGUUAUAUUUGAAGGUUUUGUCCAUAGGCUUUUCUUGGAGUACAUGUGUUGGUUUCAAGGAGAGUUGGUGUCGACCAAGGUGCUAUUCAAGGAAUUAUCCAAAGAUUGAUCUUGUGAGAGGUUGAUCAAGACUAAGUCAAAGAGUGAAUCAAGUAGAUCAACCCACAAAGCGUAGAAGAUGUACCGAGAGGGAUCAAGUGAUCCCAUGGUAUGGUAAGAAUUGUCCAUUACGCUUUGUGUACUAACCCAUGGUCUUCGUGAGAGUUCUGUGUGGGGUUAGGUUGCCGUGUGCAAGUUCAAGUGAUGCAUCACAAAGAGAUCAAGUGCUUGAAGCUUGACGUCCAUUGUGGUGACAAUGGACUUGUGAAGAUGUGCGGAAGAGUUGCUCACCCAUAGUGGACUAUGGGGGAGCAAUCUACUAGUCUUCACCGAACCAACGCAAUCAAGAAAGGUGGUCCAACUUGAGGGAGUCAAGAUUGACAUCAUCUAGCUCAAGUGGACUAUGUGCAAGACAAAGGUUUGCCCUUGAUAGAUUUUCUAUUUUACCGGUCUCAUAGUGGUAGUUGGGAGACCGGGUUAUAGGAUCGAUUGUCGUACUAUCAAGGGGGGCUCUCGAUGACUAGCUUGAUCGUAUCAUUCGUAGAGAGCUCAAACCAUUGCAUCCUUGCAUCAUCUUUAUUGGUUCUUGUUUGGUUCUUCUCUUUGUGACUUUUGGAGCUUAUGGUCAUCUUGUUGACAAGCUCGGGUUCAUCGAAAACAGAGUUCACUUGUAUCUUCUAUGAUGUUUUCGAUGAUGGAGGUUUUGCCGGUUCUUCUCGGUUGGAGGUUUUGAUGCUACUCGUCGUCUUGUAUCCAACAAGCUUGAGUUUGCUCAAUUCGGAGCUCAUAUGCAGAAGUUAUGGCAGUUUUGGUUUUCCGUGGAGUUUACUUGCUUUCGUGGAAGUGACAUAAGGAUGGCGCCAGCGGUAGUACCGCUGGGCCGGAGCGGCAGUACCGAUUAUCGCCACAAGUGGUAGUACCGCUGUACCACAUCGGUAGUACCGCCCAUGGCCAUAAGCGGUAGUACGGCUCCGGUUCCGUGCUGGUACCGCCUCGACUCGAGACGUGGUGUUCUCGUGUCGGGUUCAGCGGUAGUACCGCGGUUACCACCACCCCUAGUGCCGCUCAAUGGCCCUCCUCUCUGUUCCUUCUCCCUGUGUUCGUGGUAGGCGUUGUGUGCGGUCCCAGCGGUAGUACCGCCGGGCCGGAGCGGCAGUACCGCUUAUCGCCACAAGCGGUAGUACCGCUGUCCCAAGCGGCAGUACCGCUGCGUCCAACAGUAGUACUUCUGGCUCCAGCGGUAGUGCCGCUCAUACGGCUCUGCCACGCACUCUGUUUCGCUCUGCUCUCCGUGUUCUACCUCCCGGGCGGUAGUACCGUUCCCCUGAGCGGUAGUACCGCUCGUGCGCGGACUGAGCACAUAACAGUUGGAUUCGGGAGCUCCUAUAAAAGGGGGUCUUCUUCCCCAUUCAACCUUAUCCUUUGAGCUCGUGUUCUUCCCCCAUCGUUGACCUUCUUCGAACUUGCUAACUCUCAAUCCCUCCAUGGAUUCUUGCUAGUUUUUGAGGGAAAAGAGAGAGGAGAUCUAGAUCCACAUUUUCACCAAUCACUUUCUCCUCUAUGUGAGGGGAACCCCUUGGAUCUAGAUCUUGGAGUUCUUCGUGUUCUCUUCUUCGUUCUUCCUCUCAUUUUCCUCCCUAGCAUUUGUUGCUUCGGUGGGAUUUGGGAGAGAAGGACUUGGGCACUCCGUGUGCCCUUGCCAUUGCAUUUGGUGCCUCGGUUUGAGUUCUCCAUGUGAUACGUGGAAGUUACAAGUUGAGAAGCUUAUUACUCUUGGGUGCUUGGUACCCUUGAGCUUGUUCCUCUUGGGUGCUUGGGUGCCCUAGACGGUUGUUGGUGUUUGGGGCUCAAUCAUUGUGGUGCAAAGCUCCAGGCAAGCGUCGGGGUCUCCAAUUAGGUUGUGGAGAUCGCCCCGAGCAAUUUGACGGGUACCGGUGACUGCCCAAAGUGUACGGGUUCAGUGACUGCCCCCAAGGGUUGCCAUUUGUACGGGUUCGGUGACCGCCCUCAAGGGUCCCUUAGUGGAAUCACGGCAUCUUGCAUUGUGCGAGGGCGUGAGGAGAUUACGGUGGCCCUAGUGGCUUCUUGGGGACCAUUGUGCCUCCACACCGCUCCAAACGGAGAUUAGCAUUCGCAAGGGUGUGAACUUCGGGAUACAUCGUCGUCUCCGCGUGCCUCGGUUAUCUCAUACCCGAGCCCUUUACUUAUGCACUUUACUCUGUGAUAGCCAUAUUGUUUCUUGUCAUAUAUCAUGCUAUCACCUAGUAGUUUAUCUUGUUUAGCAUAAGUUAUUGGUGCACAUAGGUAAGCCUAGUUGUUUUAGGUUUUGUGCUUGACAAAUUAACCGCUAGGUUUAUUCCGCAUUUAUUCAAGCCUAAACCGUAAUUAUUCUAAAGCGCCUAUUCACCCCCCCCCCCUCUAGGAGACAUCCACGAUCUUUCAGCCGGGGCCAGAUCCGACGUAUGGCCUAGCUGGAUCAAGGAGGCCAUCCACAAUGAGCUCCUGCAGCUGCCCGAGGGCGCGCUUGCCGUGAACCUCCUCUACCCCUGACGCCUUCUUGCUGCGCUUCACCACCCCACAAUGGCGCGCAGAGCUGGAGGUCAACAAGACCAUCCACUGGCAGGGCACGCCGCUCGUCCUACGGCCAUGGAGCAGGUGCUUCCUCACCGAGAUGGUGACAUACCACUACUGCGUCCGCCUCUUCAUCGCGGGCAUCCCACCUUCUGCCGCCAACUGCACCAACGUCGUCCGGCUGCUCCCGAUGUGCCGCUUCCGCACCAUGGCCGUCUCCUCCUCCGACAAGCUCGACUACUUCUACUUCAUCAUGUACGCAUGGGUGGUUAACCCUGACCUGAUCCCCAAGGUCAUCGAUCUUGAUGCCAUGGAGCCGAUCACUGGCGCCUCGCCGCUAGACCAGCUUGGUCUAUCGGCGGGUUUCGCUGAGUUCGUCGACGACAAUCCUUGGGAGGACCUCGGCUCCCCUCCCGAGGCGCUCAACUCCCAGGUCCUCGUCCACCUCGACUCCCUCACGCACUACCCCAAGCCUGGUGGACGCGGGCCUCCAAACCAACCCGGUGGCAGCGACAGGGAUGGAGACGAGCCUCGCUGCCGCUACCCUUGGCGUUGGGGCAUGAAGGACAGGCAGGCCGUAUUCGCUAGGCAUACCGCCGGGAACGUGUUCCAGCGGCUCGGCGGCGCUGCCUCCUCUGCAGGCGGCAGAGGCCGCCGUCUCCCCCUCCUCGGAGCCGGCGACGCCAUGGCUGCUCCAUCGGACAUGGCUGUGUUGUCUGCGUCCUCUGACUGUGGGCCCCAUCCGCUGGGGGGGUGGGCCUGCCUCCAAGCUGGUGGUGGAUGCUGGUGGGCCACGUGGCCCCACGCCUCAUCCGGCUGCUUACGGGGCCGCCCAGUUGCCCCUGUCGACCAUGGAAGACGCUGCCCCGCCAGCGCCCUCUAUCGGUGGGCCUAUGGUUUCUGCUCCUGAGACUGUCACAGGCUGCCCUACACUACCCUCGGGGACGUUGCGGCCUCUGGGGGGACAGGAGGCCGAUUGCCCAAUCGGUGAUCCGCCUGCUCACCUGACGCCGCUGCUGUCGGCCCUGCCGGUUCCCGACACGCCUCUUCUGCCCUCCCCACCUGCGACAACUGCCACCACUGCUUCGACAAAAGUUGGGCUCAACCCGCCCAACCCAGAGAUGGCCUCACCUCCACAGCUGCAGGGCUCGCCAUGCCAAAGGCUACAGGAGUGUUGGACACCGGCGGGCCCGCCUCCAGCGCUGACGCCGCAGUUACCACUCUCCACCAUCCCCGUGGCUGCUGCGAUAGAGCCGGGCCACCUUCAAGGCGCUGGAGGCCCAUCUGCGGUUCCUGGCGGGCCGGACAGACUGAAGGAGUUCCUGGAGGCCAUUGCAUCGUCAGUCGCUCCUGUGCUGCUGCACGGCCCUGUCUUCAAGCCCGUUGCACCACCCAAGCGCCAGGCGGUCAAGGCGGUGGCCACGGAGGCGGUUAGGCGCAGUGGGCGCCUAGCUCUGAACACCACUGGGGACUCGAUGAUGACCAUGGCGCAGAAAACGGUCUUCCGCCGUCUCGGAGAGGAGUUUGACGAACCAGUUGCAGAUGUUGCAAGCCUCCUUGCCCGCUAUGUUGCAUCAUUCCAAUCCCCCCUCACCACCGACCAGAUCAAAGCCCUCACGGACUUGGCCCUCAAUGCCACAGCUGGGAGGAAGAGGGCAGGGCAUGUCGCUGCCUGAGUGUGGCCGUUGUUCUGUUGUAUUAGUGAUGUGUUAGUUUCCAUGGAUAGUUGCAACUUUCUGAUUUGGAACGUCAGGGGGCUUAACUCCCCGGCACGUAGAUUGGUAGUUUCUGAUGUGGUCCGUCAGCACUGUUGUUCGAUGGUUUGCCUGCAAGAAUCAAAACUGCAAUUUGUGUCACCCAAAGAUGUAGUUGACGUCUUCUCGGCCAGAUGUUCUACAUUCGUGUUCUUGCCUUCGGUGGGCACAAGUGGUGGCCUGAUCACCGCUUGGGACCCCGACCUCAUCUCGGUGACAAGUUCAACCUGCAACCGCCACUUCAUCUCCACUAACUGUACCAAUAAGAAGACUGGGAAACAAUGGAUACUGGUGAACGUGUAUGGUCCCUAGUCGGCUGCUGAAAAACUUGAAUUCCUUGCUGAUCUAAAGGCUAUUGCUAGUACGGCCACGGGCCCGAUCAUCUUUGUUGGGGACUUCAACCUGAUCGCCCGGAUGUCUGAUAAGAGUAACACCAGAGUUCACAGGGGUUUGAUGAACGCUUUCCAAAAAUUUAUGAAUGAUGCUCAGCUCAAAUACAUGUACCUGCAUGGCAAGCGGUACACUUGGUCCAACGAGCAGCAAGCGGCAACGAUGGUGAAGCUUGACCGGGUACUGUUCAGCGAACCUUGGAGUAACUGGUACCCUAAUUCCCUCCUGCAAGGCCUAUCCUCUGCAGUCUCUGAUCACACGCCGCUUCUUCUCAAUGCUGACCAUUCCUUCAAGCAUUGUAGACGCUUCCGCUUUGAGAAGCAUUGGAUUAGAUGGGAGGGUUUUCGUGAGGUGGUGGCACAGGCAUGGAAGCUGCACAAUCCCCCCGCCGACCCCUUUGCUGCAUACAACACGAAGCUCCAGGCAACUGCUAAGGCCCUCACACGCUGGAGUGCCCAGAAAACGAGUGAUAUGCGAUUGCGAGCAUCAAUAGUAUCUGAAUUAAUCUUCCAGUUGGAUGUAGCGAUGGAAAAUAGGAGCCUAACUGCGGAAAAAACUUCUUUUCGCAAGCUUCUGAAGAUGCAGCGGCUGGGUCUGGCUGCCAUGGAGCGCUGCAUGUGGCGGCAAUGGUCCCGCUUCCUCUGGCUCCGCGAGGGGGACUGUAACUCCAGAUUUUUCCACGUCAAAGCUACUGCGCGACGAAGAAAGAACUUCAUCCCUUCUCUGUUGAUUGAUGAGACAGUGAUUGCAGACCAGCAAGCCAAGAUGACAGCUAUCCAUAAUCACUUCCAGGCCCUCCUUGCUGCUUACCAGCCCCGCGCCCAAACUAUGAACCUAAGAAACAUCCAAUUCCCUGAGGUCGAGUUGGGCCCGAUCGACGAGGCCAUCACCGAGGAGGAGGUGAAGGCAGCGUUGUUCGACAUCAACCCGGAGAAAGCGCCAGGGCCGGACGGCUUCUCUGGAUUGUUCUUCCGUGCCUGCUGGGGCAUAAUCAAGGAGGAUCUGAUGAGAGCAGUCUGCAAAUUUCAGUCUCGCAACACUUAAAACAUGCACCUCCUCAACUCGACAUUCAUGAUCCUAAUUCCGAAGCAUGGGGAGCCAACCAUCCAAAUAGCUUCAGACCAAUAAGCCUUAUACAUAGUUUUGCCAAGCUCCUUGCAAAGAUCCUAGCACGAAGGCUCCAACCACUAAUGCCCAGUCUGAUUCUGCAGUGUCAAAACGCCUUCAUCAAGAAACGCAUCAUACACGAUAACUUUGUUUAUGUGCAAAGCCUGACCAGAGCACUAAAGCAAAAACACACACCUGCCUUCCUACUAAAGCUUGAUAUAUCCAAGGCAUUUGAUUCGACCUCCUGGGAAUUUCUGCUCCAGCUGCUUGCACACAGGUGAUUCGGAGGUCGAUGGAGAGAUUGGAUAUCUGCACUUCUGUUAACCUGCUCCACAAAGGUGUUGGUCAACGGGGAGCUCUCUGCUAGGAUUAACCACAGGAAAGGAUUUUGCCAGGGUGACCCACUCUCCCCUUUCCUUUUCGUCUUGGUUAUGGUCUGCCUGGCCAGGCUCAUGGACAAGGCUAGCACCGAUGGAGUUCUCACCCCCUUUGAGAAUCAGAGCAUGAGGUUCAGAACUUCAAUCUAUGCUGACGACAUAAUCAUCUUCUCCAAGCCGCUAAUCCACGAUGCUACGGCGUCAACGCCAUCCUCAAGCUGUUUGGACAAGCAACGGGCCUCCAAACCAACUUGAACAAGAGCAGCUUCUACCCGAUCCGUUGUCAGAAUUUGGACACCUCACAAUUGCAGGAGACGCUGGGAUGCACCCAGGGAUCAUUCCCUUGCACGUACCUGGGCAUGCCCCUGUCCGACAGGAAGCUACGUAGGGUGGACCUACAGCCAAACAUUGACCGCCUAGCUGGGAAGUGCUCUGGAUGGAAGGUUGACUUGAUAAACCUGACAGGCAGAGUGGUGCUUGUGCGAUCGGCCCUCUCGGCCAUGCCAACCUUCCAGAUGAUUGCAAUACCACAAGUGAAGUGGCUAGACCAGAAAAUUGACAAAAUCCGCAGGCCCUUCCUUUGGGCCGGCAAGAAUUCUGUUUCAGGAGGAAAAUGCCUUGUCAGCUGGAAAUCUCUUUGCAGACCGACUGAAUUUGGGGGGCUAGGCAUCUCAAACCUCGAAUUCCAAGGGGCGGCUGAGGGCGCACUGGCUUUGGCAGCAAGCUAAGUUCCCGGACAAGCCUUGGGCGGAUCUACCUUUUCCCUCUGACAAGCUCUCCGCUGCCAUCUUUACCGCAAGCACUGUAAUUGUUGUAGGAUCAGGGGCAUCGAUCUCCUUCAGGCACUGCCACUGGUGGCAAGGUACACCGCUCAGAGAUCAAUUCCCACACCUAUACUCACACAGCAGAGGGCGGAGGCUUUGCUCCUGGCAGCCCUUACGAACCGCAAAUGGAUAGCAUGCAUUAGAAGCAACCCUACUACCCAGGUGCUUGCUGACUAUGUGCAUGUAUGGCACAUCGCUUCCCAAGUGAGCCUCUCGCCGGGGCAACCUGAUGACAUCCACUGGAAGUGGACUGCUGAUGGUCAAUACUCUGCUAAAACAGCCUACCGGAUUCUUUUCCAGGGCAUGAUCAGGGCCAACUACAACUUGCUGAUCUGGUCUUCUAGGACCCCCCCCCCCUCUAAGUGCCAGAUGCAUGCAUGGCUGGCCAUUCAAGGGCGCCACAAUACAGCCGACCAACGGGCAAAGAAGAACUGGCCUCACACGCCAAUUUGCACCCUGUGCCAGCAGCACCCGGAGACUGCCCUACAGCUAUUUGCCCAAUGCCAGUUCUCCAGGUCGGUGUGGCAGCAGAUCAUCCAACGCUUCAACGCCAAAAUCACGCCUCCAUCGGCCAUGGAGCCCUCCCUUGAAGACUGGUGGUACCGCUUUAUCAAAUCCCUAUCCCUGGUUGGCAGGAGGAAGAUCAACAGCCUCGUUAUUUGCGCCUGGUGGUGCAUCUGGAAGGAGAGAAAUGCUCAAAUUUUUAAGCACCGAUCGACAAAGGUCGAUGCGGUUUGCUCGCUCAUCAACGAGGAACUUCGGCUCUGGUGCACGGCCGGCCUUGUCGGGGCAACGUGGAUGCCACGUAACUAGAGACUGCGCACUAGUCUACUAACCUGGCUGCCGGCCUUUCUUUUCGUUUUCUUUUCAUUUGUAGCUGUCCAUUAGUAGCUACUAACCAACCUGACACUGUAACCCGGCUGUCUCGGCCUUUCUCUUAAUGAAUGAAAUCAGCGCUGGCUGUUUUUCGAGAGAGAGAGAGAGAGUUAGGAGGAGAGGAAGAGAUGAAGGAUAGGGUGAUAUACCCGAGCCUUCACGUCGACUGAAGGAGUCAACGGCGGCCGCGCUGGAUCCCGAUCGGACCCGCCUCGCGCCGACCUCUGCCUCUUCCCCGCAUCACGAGCCAAGCCGUCGUCGUGCACUCGUGCUCCCGGUCGGAUCAGGAGAGCCGCUGCUUGAUCUGCAACCCAAAAAAUAUCCCAAACCUUUUUUGUUUCAGAGGACUCAACGGGAGAAAAAAUACCACAUGUCUCUAGUCCAAGCAGAGUGUGUCCACGUUCGCUAUUUCAACACAGUUCACAUAUAUAUCACCGUUUAUCCUCUAUCUUCGGCAGCAAAUACUUUCAUGGUCUAAUUGAUGAGCAGCUAACACAUAGAAAAUACUUCAUGGUAGUUAAUUUAGUAAUGUAGAAUUCCCGCAAAAAAAAUUAGUAAUGUAGAAAAAAAGUAAAAUUAAUUAUCCAUACGGUCUUGUAGUCAGUUAUAGCAGACUAAAAUUUGAAGGAACCAAGUACUUCAGCCAGCUCAUUAUUUAACAACAUGCAGGUUCAGACUUUAACCUUAUCACAAAAUACUCAGAACAACAUAUUGUGCAGCUCCCCCAAAACAAAUAGUACAAGCAAAGGGUUUCCGUUCACCUAACCUAAUCUACAUGGUCUAUGUAAUGGGAUAUCCAUGGUUGUUACAUGGUGGGCCUCGGAGGUUGGCUAGAAAAGGAAGAUAAAUGAUAAACAUUAUUUCUAGCAAAAUAAUUAAACAGAAGUAAACUCUGUACACUAAGAACAGAAAAUUGACAGAAGUUAUGUAUAGACAUUAUUUAUGCGAAUUUAUAUAGGCAAGGUGCAGACAAAUAGGCUUCAAAUUCUUGAGUCGGUGGGACAAAGGUGAUAGUAUCUUAUAUCUUAUCUAUCUAUAUUUAUAUCUAUACCUAUACUAAUUACAGACUCCUAAGAAAUUACCAUGUUAAUUAGAUUUUACGAGCCAUUAAUCUGGUGGAACCGAAUUAUUACGGUGUUGAUCGACUCACGGAAGAAAAAAAACAUACAUAAUUUCCGGUUAUAGGUUCAUAGGGUAGUGCAACAAGUCCCCUAAUACUCUUCGUCUAUAGGGGGUCAUCCAUAUGUGUUAAAUGCCCAUGGGGGCAUGCUGCACCAUGCCAAGCAAUGAUAUCAUAGUUUAACAUUUAUUACUUCUGCUACAAUAGUUAGUUGGCAAAGUAAUUCAUGAAAAAUGUAUGCAUUCUGAUAGGUUGAGUUGUUUUGGAUUGGUCAGAGUUCGUCUUGUGUAAACUGAAUGAAGUAAUUAAGAGAAGAUUCCACCACGAAAAAAAUAUGAUGAAUGAACAAUGGCACCUGCGAGGGUGAGAGAAGUGAACUCAAAAAUAAAUUGUUGACACCUCAUCCAUUCUAGAAUUUUAUGUUACCUAGAAUUAGGCUAGACAAUCCUAAUUUUCAAAUCUUUGCUGCAAUAAUUUUUAGAUCCGUGCAUUCUAGAUUCCUCUACCAAGACAUCUGUACAUAUUAACAUGGUAGCACACCCACACGCACACACACAAACAUAUAGACGCAUUGUAAUAUUCAAAUAGGGCAUAUUAUUCUGUAUGAAUGUUAAUUUUCUCUUAAGCUUUGGUUACAUUUAGUCAACAAAAUUGUACAUAAUUAAUUUUAUAAAAAUGACAUGAUUUAUAAUUAUAAUUUAGCUUUGACAUAUUUAUCAUAAUUGACUUUUGUAUUGUAUAACAAUAAAUUUGACUUUAAUGUUUCCAAUGUUGUUAGAUAUACUAUUAGAAAAAAAUUCACAAAGAUGUUGAGACGAAGUUUGUAUUGAUUUUAUAAUCUUGUUAAGAUUUAAUAAAAAAUGAAAAAAAUAAAAGUAUUUUGUAUAAUUAAUUAAGGAUUACCUAUAAUUAACAAUAACUUGAUUUUGGUGAAUUAAAAACUCACUUUUUCCUGUUGUUUUUCAAGGCUGGUUUUCAUUCAGGUUUUUUCUGUUUCCGUUUUUCCUUUCUGUUUCUUUUUUUGUUUUUAUCUUUUCUGUCUCUUUCUUCUUUUAUUUUCCUUUUUCUAUUUCUUUUUUUAAAAAAAUUGUAAUUUAUAAAAUGUCCAGGAUUCAAAAUUGUUCCCCAAUUUGAAGAUAUUUUCAGGGUUUUAAAAAACUGUUCAUGUCUUCGAAAAAAUGUUCAGAAAUUCUAGUAAAUGUUCGUGUUUCAAAAAAAAAUUCCAAAAUUUUAAAAAAUGUUUGCAUAUUCAAAAUGUUCGUAAGGUGGAAAAAUGUCACAUUUUAAAAAAUUGAUCUUAUAUUUCAUAACAAAUUCAUGUUUUUCAAGAUAAUGUUUGCAAUUGGGAAAUUGUCCGCACUUUCAAAACAAUGUUCGUCUUUGUGAAAAAUGUUCGCCAUUUCAAAACAUUGUUCGUCUUUUCUGAAAAAUAUUCAUGCAAUCAAAACAAUGUUUGCAAUUUUCAAAACUAUAAAAAAUGUUUGCACAAUUCAAGAAAUGUUCGAAUUGUUUCAUAAAAAAAUUAUGUUUGAAAAAUUGUUCCCAAAUUUUCAGAAAUGUUUGCAUAUUCAAAAUGUUUGUAAAGUUGAAAAAUGUCACAUUUUCAAAAGAUGUUUGUAAAUUUUAAAACAAAUUCACGUUUUUCAAGAUAAUGUUCGCAAUUUGGAAAAUGUUCGUCUUUUUGAAAAAUGUUCAUGCUCUCAAAACAAUGUUCGUCUUUGUGAAAAAUGUUCGCGAUUUCAAAAUAAUGUUCGUCUUUUCUGAAAAAUGUUCAUGCAAACAAAACAAUGUUUGCAAUUUUAAAAAAAUCUUCUCACAAUACAAAAAAUAUUCAUCUUUUUUUCAAAAAUGUUUGUGUCUUCAGAAAAACAUUCUGUUUUUGAAACAUUUCAUAUAUAGUAUUUGGAAGUGUUGGUGCUUUCAAAAACAACUUGAAAUUUGAAGUGUUCGGUUUUAAAAAAUGCAAUAGCUACAGUAUGCUAUGUAUGCGUGCCCACCCUAGCAUUAUUGUACUACGCAAGGCAAGAUAAUCUAGCUAGCCGGAGAAAUGUUUUUUUUCCCAGCCAAGGAAUCUUGGUUCUUCCUUAGAGCAAAAUAUAGCUCCAGCCAUGGAACAGAGGUAGUACUAGUUUAGAGGUACGUAGAGGGGUACAGACAACACGAGGAAAGCGAAAGGAAGGAACAAUCAGGCUAGCAGUAGCAGCUCUAGUAGCUACGAUGUGCAGGGGGCCAUGCGUGCAUGGCCAUAUGCGUAUGGCUCUUCUUCCCUAGUCGCGGUGCGCCCCCCUCCCCCAUCCAUCUUCCAUUCCAUCAACCUUCGUGCUCCACACACGUGCACGUGGUGGUCGUAACAACGAGUAGUAGUAAAAGUAGCUCGCCAGGGUACAUGCAUACACUGGUACACGGUGAGAAGCGUGAGUGAAGCUUGGCACCCGUCUAUCCAUGCAUGUGCGGUGUCUCGCUUUUGUGCAUGCAUGAGCAGUGAGAACUCUCGACCACCUGUCGCGUCUCCAUCUACCUACACGUUCGAUCCAUGUCUUUAUACGUGAAUGCAUGUGAAUGUUCGUGCAGCACGAGAGAGAGAGAGAGAGAGAGAGAGAGAGAGAGAGAGAGAGAGAGAGAGAGAGAGAGAGAGAGAGUAAAAGAACGUUCGUCAUAGUACCUUACACGCAUGCUAUUGAUUUGGUGUGUCGAAUGCAUUCGUUGAUUGCUAAACUGAAAUUGCCAUGCGUGCAUGCAUGUCAGAUUUACUUACUCUUCCACCGGCCAGCAAUCCUAACCCAAAAAAAAACGCCUUUCUGAGGGAUGCAAAAAAUAUGUGACAUUGAAGUUGUUUGGUUGUUGUUGUACCAGAGGGAAAACUCGGGAAUUUUCACUAAAUAGGGUAUCGUAAUCGUCCUUAAAACUCGAUGCCUCUAGAUUCAUCCUUCACAUAUUGAUGCUUCUUGAUCACACGAUAUGAACUACGACUCCACUCAAAUAUUCUGAAACGGAGUUAGUAUAUGUCCUUGCUCAGUUUCCUUGUGUGGGUGUCAACACGGACAUAUACUACCUCCGUUUCGAAAUAUUGGCCAGUUCUAUAGAAAAAUAUGGUAAGCUCUACAACAUCAAACACACCUUGCAAAACUUGUUUAAGUUUGUCCUGAGUCAAACUUGUUUAAACAAGUUUAAAGAUACUACCACUUAAAUAAUAAGCCUCUAAAGAAAGGACAUGUAUUUAAUAAAAAAAUAGAAGGCUCAGAUAUUAUUUCUUAGUUUCAAAUUGGCAUAGCCUUUGGUGUGCUAAUUACAAGUAAGUAAACCAUCUGCAUAUCAUCAGUUUGUUCAAACUAAUAGUAUUGCAUUCAGAAAUAACUAGCACCACAUCAUAACCACAUCGCCCACAAAGGUCCUACUAAAUACAAACAUCCUCGUCCUUGAGUGAAAGCUCCACAAAAAAAAAAUUACUUACAAAGAGGCGUGAGCUAUUGCUACUUGCAAACACGAAUCAUACAUGCAUGCAUGAAUUAUAGCUCUAGCCACCGGCCGAUGUCAUGUAUGUCAAAUUUCGCGUUUCAAACAUGUCCGGGAGAAGACCAUAACUCCUUCCUCUGUCGCCUACCAUUGCGGAGGCCCUUUUUGGAUGACACAUUAAUUAUCUUUCCCGUUGCGUCUCGCAAAAAAAUAUCUCUCCCGUAGCAACGCACGGGUAUAUGUGCUAGUAUUUAAUAAAAAAAAAUAGAAGGCUCAGGUAUUAUUUCUUAGUUUCAAAUUGGCAUAGCCUUUGGUGUGCGAAUUACAAGUAAGUAAACCAUAUGCAUAUCAUCAUUUUGUUCAAACUAACAUUAUUGCAUUCAGAAAUAACUAGCACCAAAUCAUAACCACAUCGCCUGCAAAGGUCCUACUAAAUACAAACAUCCUCGUCCUUGAGCGAAAGCUCCACAAAAAAAAUUAUUUACAAAGAGGCGUGAGCUAUUGCUACUUGCAAACACGAAUCAUUUAUGCAUGCAUGAAUUAUAGCUCUAGCCACCGGCCGAUGUCAUGUAUGUCAACUUAAAUAUAUAAUGGGACCUUUGAUUGAAAAAGAGUCAUAUGUUCACCCUCCGGUACUUUUUACUUCGCGUAUUAGAUUUGUGUCAAGUCAAACUUUGCAAGGUUUGACCAAAUUUAUAUUAAAAAAUAUCAGCAUCUACAAUACCAAAUGCAUAUACUAUGAAACUACAUUUCGUAAUGCAUCUAACAAGAAUGCUUUCACAUUGUGAAUGUUGAUAGUUUUUUCUAUAAGUUUGGUCAAAGUACAAAGUCUUCGACUUCAGACAAAACUUAUAUUCAGACUAAAAAGGAUCGGAGGGAGUAUAAACAAACAAGUACUACUACUAUUAUAUGUCCUCAUGGAAGUCACCGUGAAUACGCAAAAUCAGAGGUAGAUGACUGAGCGAAUUUCCUUGGACUGCAGAAACUUGUUUAUAAUGAGACGUGAACUAUUGUUACUUGCAGAAACGAGUCAUGCAUGCAUGUAUGUCAAAUUGAAUAUAUCAUGAGACUGUUGAUCGGAGCAACUAGGAGUAGAGUACUCGUAUAUGUCCUCAUCGAAAUCACUCUGAGUAGUACACAAAAUCAGAGUUAGGUGACUGAGCAAACUUCCGUGGACCGCAGAAAAUAAUACUGCUAUUACAGCUGAAUUCUGAAGCCACUUGGAGGAGAGCGAGGGAACCAGCAACAUGCACGGACCAUGCGUACUGCUGGAGUAGCAGUACAGCAAGAACAUGGACAAGCACCCCAACCAUGACCUGGGCUGGUGGCCUCAUCAAGAUCGUGACCUGCAGAAGACGGCCGUUUCUGAUCGAGCCGGCUAUGCAGAUCUUAUGCCUUGUUCACACAUGUCUUAGGUGUCUAGGCAGGCAGAUUCUAUGAAUCGGCGCAGCUGCAAAAGGUUAGGGCUCCUUUGAUUCAAAGGAAUUCUAUAGGAAUUUUGGAGGAUUAAAAUUUUUAGGAUUUUUACCUAUGUUGGUCCUUUAAUUCAUAGGAUUGAUUCUCAUAGGAAUUUUUUCUAUGAAAUCUUUUGUACUACAUUUCAAAGGAAAUCUAACAUCCACUCCGAUCUUUUUUUUACAAUUUCUUUAUUUUUUCUAUGACAUCAAACACUUCUUGCAAAUCCUAUAGGAUUUAAGUGGGCAUUGCCCCUUCAAUACUCUACUUUUCCUAUUCAUAUGUUUUCAUAAUCAUGCGAAUCAAAGAGGCCCUUAGUGGGCAAAGAAAUAAAGCCGACGACCAGAAACUGCGAAACAUAGUUUGGUAAGAUCAACCUGUGCUAAUCUACAUUAUGUGUUGGAGAUCCAUGUCCAUGUGUACACUGUAUAGAAAUUAAAAACACGAUGCACAAAUGCAUCAAACAUCAAGGCAAUCAGCAAGCGUUGAUCCACCUUGUACGCAUCUGCCUCAGUGAUUGGUUGAUCAUAAGACUCUCCUAAUCACCUUGGGACGGGUCCAUGGGCUGAGGUGGAGGACCCAGCCCACCGCGUCACAUAUGCACCAUCAUUUCACAUUUUCACCCACGGUAUCCUCUCAUGGCGCCACCACGGAAUCACAGAUGGCCAGAAGGGGGCCAUGGAGAAGCGGUGGGGGGCUCGCCGGAGGGGGCCCCACCCCGCAGAGUUGCCUCGCGCAUGGGCCCAACGUAUCGGUGAGCAGGGGAGGCCUGACACAGUCGUUGCUGCCUCCUCCGCCCGAAGCCGCCAGGCCCUCACUCGCGAGCUGUGGGUCAAACCUCGCCACGCUCCGUCCUGGGAUCCCCUGCGGCCGAGGAUCCAGCAGCAACCUGCAUGCAUAUAGGUAAAAUAUCAUCAUUCAUGGAAGGAUUCAGUAUCAGGCGAGGCAAGAAAGGAAGGGAAAAUGCGGCCAGAGGUUGAUGAUGAGAAGGAGCGUGGCUUCAGCUCAGUCGCAGAGGAUCCACACUCUGGCAAGCAGCUCAGCUCUGCUAGGAACAAAUAUCAUUUAAGUAAUCAAAUUUGUGCGGUCUUUGGAUUUUAAUUUUUUAUUAGCCUAGUGGUAGAGACUAGUGCUGACAAUGAGGGGAUGGAUAUUUAUAGUUUGUUGGAAAUAUUAGCACUUUUUUGAUUAGACUUAUUAGUCGUCAACCCGUGCAUUCGCACGGGCUAGUUUAAUACCUUACAAUGUGAUGAUGUUUUGAGACUAAAUUUCAUUUACCGGGAGUAAGGAAAUUGAGAAUUCCCAAAUUUCUAUUGGAACAGUUACAUCUUGUCCAAUGAAAAUAUAUGUUUUAUAUUCAAAUAUUAUUUUUGUCAAAAUUUAAUACUUAAAAAUAUAAUAUGGAAUGACGCAUAUACUCAAAUGUUCUGUAUCUACAUAAAAUAAUUGAAUUAUUUAAUCACCUCUAAUCUUGGUAUAUAUUGCCUUCAACACACUGAAAAUAAAACCACUGAUGGUUCAUUCACUUGACAUCUCCUCCGAACAGUCUCUACAGUAAUUAAGAAGUUUACUUUAGAUAUAAGAUGAAAGAGCCUCAUAGUAUGAACAACAAAAACUGUUAGACCUUUUUAAAGAGAAAAGUAAUAGAUGCACAUAUCACAGACCAUUUUUUAAGACUAUUUAUCUUGUUCCGAUUUUUUUCUCAUAAAAAGACAAAAUCCCAGUCUCCAACUGAUAUAAUAAAAUUAUGCAUAGAGAAAAUAGUCAUGUGGUUGAACAUCUGUACAUGUUUCGUCAAUUGCACUUUUGUGCAUCUCCUUUGCUUCCGUCAUACCAUAAUGUCUUGAUCUGGACAUGUUCCCUUUAAAUUAUAUUACUGGUAUCCUAAUAGUUAAAUACAAAUAUAUUAACAUAUAUAUAGACAAAAGUAAACUGUUUUUGUCGAUAUUUUGAAUUCACAUGAACUUUUGGCUUAUGGUGUAUGUACAAAAACCUCCAUUAUAUAAUUUGGUAUAUAAUGAAACAAAAAAAAUUAUACAUCCAUAUUGUAUUUACCGAAGUACAUAUACAAUAUUUAGGUAAAAUCGUAUUUAUCAAACCGAACAAACCGGCGCACAUAUCUCAUGUCCAUUAUCUGCCACCCUAUAUGUGUGUUCAACGAAUUAACAUGCAUAUUAUUCCUAACGUGGUAGUUUUCCAAGUACUCCUUUUUUGAUACUCGGCAAUGGCUAUUGUAGUGUUUAUCUAGUGCCUUUGCCGAGAACAGAACUCGGCACACAAUGCCGAGUUGUUUCUAGGCUUUGCCAACUAUGCUGGAAACUCCACUGAAUCGGUGUCUCCAGUAGAGACAUGGCAUUAAAAAAAACUUUCUCACGUACACAUUCCAAAAAACAAAUGCCAAUUUCUGGAAAAUAGGAAAUUAUCUUCCAUGAUUGUAGAUUACUCUCACGUACAUGUUUAGUUUUGUUACUUGUAUGUAAGAUUUACCUUUAUAACUUGGUACCCUGGAAUUCGGUUGCGUCUAGUUUGGGUACCCGAGGUGUAUUGGGUUUGACUGCCAUGGGGUUUAUUUUCUGUUAGGUUAUUGGGAAAAUAAUCUGAUUAUGCUGCAAAUAUCUGGAACAAAACAUAUUUAGCAGAUCUGUCUACUCUCUAAACCAAUCAUACAUUCAUCAUAUUUCGACGUAGAUUGACUUAGUUAGAGUGCACGGGCUGAUGUCACGUACAGUUGUUACUUAUUAACAAUGCAAAAUUCAGUACCCUAACAAUUAGAAAAACAACUCCAGAGAAUAUAGACAACUCUAACCUCCAAUGUAUUAGGCAAUGUAAACUUGGGAACGACUGUCACCUCAUGAGAUAUAUGAUUCAUGCAUGGGCCUAUUUUGCAUGGCAGGGUUGCCAUAGUUUUGUUCCGAUUCAGUAUCAGGCAUUCAGAAAAGGUUAAGUAGAAUCUCGUCAAUUUCGUGAUCUGGUUGCUUGUUUGGAUAAGGUAAAAAAAAUCUGCAUACCUGCAAAGUCCAAUGCAUGGAACAGGAUCAUUUUCUGUCUUGCAGAUAAUAACCUGUGCCCAACAAUGAUCCUAGCCUAGGAACCAAUUAACUGGUCGUCCUUCACAUAAAUUACUCAAAACAAAGAGAACAUACCUGUUUAAAAUUAGAACCUUGUUGAAAAUAAAAUCAAUUGAUAUUAUCCUUGGAACCUUAAAAAAA
rnacentral:lncRNA from 1 species